AUACGUAGGGUGCAAGCGUUAAUCGGAAUUACUGGGCGUAAAGCGUGCGCAGGCGGUUUUGUAAGACAGUGGUGAAAUCCCCGGGCUCAACCUGGGAACUGCCAUUGUGACUGCAAGGCUGGAGUGCGGCAGAGGGGGAUGGAAUUCCGCGUGUAGCAGUGAAAUGCGUAGAUACGCGGAGGAACACCGAUGGCGAAGGCAAUCCCCUGGGCCUGCACUGACGCUCAUGCACGAAAGCGUGGGGAGCAAACAGGAUUAGAUACCCUGGUAGUCCACGCCCUAAACGAUGUCAACUGGUUGUUGGGGAUUUAUUUUCUCAGUAACGAAGCUAACGCGUGAAGUUGACCGCCUGGGGAGUACGGCCGCAAGGUUAAAACUCAAAUGAAUUGACGGGG
rnacentral:rRNA from 1 species